GGAUGUGAGGGAGAUCUGGCUGCGACAUCUGUCACCCCAUUGAUCGCCAGGGUUGAUUCAGCCGAUCUGGCUAGCUAGGCGGGUGCCCCCUUCCUCCCUCAAAGCUCCAUGUGCGUCCCUCCUGAAGCUGCACCCUUGGUUGAAGAGGACAACCUUCCCCCAUAGAGGAGGACAGGUCUUCCGUCACGGGUAUCUGAGUAGCUGCGCUCCCCUGCUAGAACCUCCAAAUAAGCUUUCAAGAGUGAAAACAGAGCCAGGCGUGGUGGCACAUGCCUUUAGUCCCAGCAUUUGGGAGGCAGAGGCACGUGGAUCCCUGUGAGUUC
rnacentral:snRNA from 1 species